rnacentral:rRNA from 1 species
GACGAACGCUGGCGGCGUGCUUAACACAUGCAAGUCGAACGGUAAGGCCCUUCGGGGUACACGAGUGGCGAACGGGUGAGUAACACGUGGGUGAUCUGCCCUGCACUUCGGGAUAAGCCUGGGAAACUGGGUCUAAUACCGGAUAGGACCACUGCCUGCAUGGGCGGUGGUGGAAAGCUUUUGCGGUGUGGGAUGGGUCCGCGGCCUGUCAGCUUGUUGGUGGGGCGAUGGCCUACCAAGGGGACGACGGGUCGCCGGCCUGAGAGGGUGACCGGCCACACUGGGACUGAGAUACGGCCCAGACUCCUACGGGAGGCAGCAGUGGGGAAUAUUGCACAAUGGGCGCAAGCCUGAUGCAGCGACGCCGCGUGAGGGAUGCCGGCCUUCGGGUUGUAAACCUCUUUCAGCACCGACGAAGCGCAAGUGACGGUAGGUGCAGAAGAAGGACCGGCCAACUACGUGCCAGCCGCCGCAGUAA